UGAAAAUAUAAAUAAAUAAAUAGUAUUGCAAGUAAUAUCAGGGAUUGAUGCUUGUCCAUGGGAUGAGUCUCAAGUUGGGUAAGGUAUAGGUUGGCUCUUCCCUUAGUGUCUGUUCCAUCUUGGUGCCUGUAUUUCUUUCCUUCCUUUCUUUUCUUUUCUUUUCUUUUCUUUACUUUCUUUCCUUCUUUCUUAAGAUUUAUUUAUUUAUUAAUUGUUACUACGCUGUAGCUGUUUUGACACACCCAGAAGAGGGCAUAGAUCCCAUUACCAUUAGUUGUGAGCCACCAUGUCUUUGCUGGGAUUUGAACUAAGGACCUUCAGAAGAACAGUCAGUGCUCUUAACCACUGAGCCAUCUCCAGUCCCUGUGCCUGCAUUUCUUGUUACGGGACAAAUUUUGGGUAGAAAGUUUAAUGGUUCAGGUGGUGUUCUUAAAUCUCCACUGGCUGUCAAUCCUGGCUGCAGGAAGUGGCCGAUUCACAUUCCACAUCCCACUGCUAUGAGUCUCAGUCAUGUUACCCCAUACACUCCUGGGUGCCUUUUAUAUCUAUGGUCUCCUUCACAUGCUGAAGAUUCCUCUACUUCCCCCUUCCCCACACCGACACCCAUCCCUGCCAGCCUCAAAUUUCCUGAUUCUAUGGCCCUCUCUCCUGUCUCUUACCACACCUGUUUUUAACCGUUCUCUUUUCCCAUUUCCAGUCCUGCUUUCCAACAAUUUCCUUCUCUUCAUCUCUCUCCUAUGACUGUUUUAUUCUGCCUUCUGAGUGAGAUUCAACCAUGCUCACUUCAGUUAGCUUCUUUGGGUCUGUGGAAUGUAGCAUGAAUAACCUGUACUUUAUGGUUAAUAUUUACUUGUGAUUGAAUACAUACAUACAUGUCCGUUUGGGUCUGGAUUACUUUUCUAGUUCUGUUACUGUGCUUUCAAGUUUCAUGAUGUCUUUGUUCUUAAUAGCUGAAUAUUAUUACUUUGUUAAAAUGAAUUACAUUUUCUGUAUCUACUGUUCUGUUGAGGUACAUCUGGGUUGUUUCCAGAUUCCAGCUAUUAUGAAUAGAACUGCUACGAACAUAGUAUUGCACAUGCCAUUGUCCAUAUAUGUCUAAGAAGGUGCCCUAAGGGUAACACUCCCUCCUGUUUGGCUUAACUUUAUGGAAGAAUAGGCAAAGUAAUUCCUAGUCACUUGAAGGAACUUCAAAUAAUACCUCCCCAACUGUGGUCUAAGCAUGGGAGGGUCCAUCAACUUAGAAGCCAAACUUAACAGGAUCACCCAUAUUGUGCUGCUUCUGCAAACUGAAAAUGAGAAAUUCCAGGUUAUGAACACUUCCUCUAUGUUUUAAAUUCAGAACUAUUCCAUCCAUCUUUUGGCAGAAUCAGAGCGCUCGGUGAAGAUUCUGUGAGGGUUCAUUGUAUAAUUUAUGAUGAUGAAGAUUGAGUUGCAUUUUGGGGAAAAGAGAUGUUGAGAUAUCUAAGGCAUUGAGAAAUCUGUCAGGCAGAGAUGCACACAGGGAGAGGGAGUACCCAAACUGAUGAGAAGUUACAGGAAUUGGACCAUCUAAGACCUUAGAAAGUGAAGUCCAAAGUGUCUCAAACAAAGGUAUAUGAUUCGGUGUUUGCCCUGCUGUGUUUCUUGCCUUGGUCCAAUCUCCCCUCCCUAUGUGCAGAUGCCUAUCUAUUGGAAUGGGAAGGGGUAUUCUGUGCCAUUGUAUGCUGGAAAGAUAUAACUUGUGUUCUGAUUUUAAAAGAAGUGUCAAUCAAGACAUUUCCCUGAGUGUCAAAAGAGGCUUUGAACAUUUCAACAGUGUAGGAGCUUCUACAGACUAUUAGAGUCAUUGAAGUUACACUGAAUGCAUUUUCAUCACAGGGGGAAUAUGAGCCUCUAGUGCCUAUCGUCAGAAUGGAGUUUGUUGAAACAAAAUGUUCCUAGAUGAGUUGAUGUCUUUGAAUCCUUGUCUGUCCUUCUUGGCUUUCUUUGCGGAGCUUAUAGAUGCUCUUUUAGGAGGUGCCUUUCCAGAUUUUUUUUUAUUAGGGGAUAGGGUUUGUUUGUCUGUAGACUCAACAAAUUUCUUUCUUUUGUAUUUCUUCAAUAAUUUAUAUAUUUAUUAUCUUGGGGAAUUACUGUUCCCACUGCAGGUCACCCCCUUCAUAGAGUCCCUGUCCCCAAUCCCCUCUGUUUCUCCUUUGAGUUUCUGUGUGCCCUCCUGUUUGUCCCCAAAUCAUUGCUCAUUAAGUGUCUGUUCUGUUAGGUGCUUCCUCUGUCAUUGAAGCCAGACAGGACAGUGUCCUUAAGGGAACAGAUUCUAAAGAUAGUCAAGAGCUUUAGGGACAGCCUCUACUCCAGUUGUUGGGAGACCCACAUGAAGUCUGAGCUGCAUAUCUGCUACGUAUGUGCCAGGAACCUUAGUCCAGUCUUUAGUGGGUGGCUCAGCUUCUGAGUGUCCCCAGAAGCUACUCAUCCUAGGCAUGUGUAGUGAGUCCAGAUUAAUUGAGUCUGUUAUUCUUCCUGUGUAGUAACUACCCUAUUAAGGCUUUUCAGUCCUUCUCUGCACAGUUUCAUAAGAGUCGGUUUGUUUAAUAUCUGGCUAUGACUUCUGUUCUUUGUGGCUACUGUGUCGUGGUUGAAACUGGUCAUUCAGCUUUCUUCUCAUGCUCUCAUACAUUCACCAUUUGGACUCUGUCACUAAAUCACCUAGGAUAGUGUAGAAGCAUUUGCUGAUCAAUAUUAAGCCAUUUUGCAAGCUUGGUGCGUUUUUUAAAUUUUAUUUUUUUUGUUUUUGUUUUUCAAGACAAAAGUUUCUCUGUGUAGCCUUUCCUUUUCUGAAGGGAAUUAGAUAUGGGCCAACAUGCUUGCAUGAUUUUGUUUUUAUGUUAUUAGCUUAUGUGCUUGGAAUGUAAGUUUUUGUACAUGCAAGCGUAUGCUGUUGUGCAGAUCUUCAUCCACAUCUUGAAGUUUGAAGUUUGGCCAAGAAUAUACAGAGUAGAUUCUCUUUCUCAGGAUGGCAUGUGUUCAUGACAUCAAUACUACCCAAGGCUUCAGAGUCAUUGGAUUGCAGGUGUGUGACAUUUUUUCUACCUGUUGAAUUUUUCCAAAGAGUAUGAGGGUUUUGCCAGUGUGCAUGUAUAUGACUAUCAUGUGUGCCUCAUCUUUACUGUAGUCAGAUGACAGCCUCAGAACACUUAAACUUGAAGUAAUGAGCAGUUAUGGGUCCUCAUGUAAAUAUUGGCCAUUGACCCCCUUUUUAUGGAAGACCAGAAAGAGCUUUCCACUGCUGAGCUAUCUCCCUGCCCUAUGUUGCUCAUUUAUGAUCCACAUUUAUAUUACUGGUAUUUUCAUCUGUCCAUUUGUAACUGUUUGAACAUACAUGUAAACAUACAUUCUCUUUUAUAAAUUUUGUUUCCAUUUAAACUGGGGCACUUCAGGUUUCCGCUACAUGACUACAGACUGUAUACUGUAGAGAAUGUAUAAUUCUUUGUAGGAACUUCAGUAAAGACCUCUAAAUCUUUCUAUGUAUUUUGUUGGCUUGAUUCCAUUUUGUAGAGGAAUGAAGGUCUUAAUAUGUACCUUUGUUGCCCAGGAAUUCAUUGCAUAGCUUAGGCUGGCAUCAAAUUCAAUGACCUACACCUGCCUGUACCUCUGGGAUUAAAGACAUGAGUAAACACACCCAGCUUGCCUAUCAUUUUUUGUACUUUGUGAUUGGUCAUACAAUGUCUCUGAUGUGUGCUUAAUAAUGUUAAUCUGUUUGCCACUCUCCUUCCCCCCCCCAUCAAUUGUAAUUUGUCUUGCAAGUCUGUAUCCUAUUCAAAGCAUUCAGAAGUGACACAGGUGAAGCUCAUAGUUCAGUUUCCUUCUAAAAUAACUUGCUGUUUAGAUUGUAACUUCUCUGUCAGGAAAUAGUGGAGGAAGCACCAGAAGUAUAUGUAUAUAUUGUCAAGGAGGCAUAUAUUUAUUUACAGUGAUGUCAGGAUUAUGCUUUGUGUUGUCCAAAUCUAUGGGAUAUUUUAGGAUGCAGUGACUUAUGAUGAUGUGCGUGUGAACUUCACUGAGGAAGAGUGGGAUUUGCUGGAUCCUUCCCAGAAAAGUCUUUAUGAAGAGGUGAUGCUGGAGACCUACCAGAACAUCACUGCUAU
rnacentral:lncRNA from 1 species